UGUGUGUAUGAGAUAGAUCUGUUCCGAUUCCCGGGAUGGCCAAUCCGCACAAUCAUUUGAGCUUAGCGAAUCCACGAGUUCAAUAUACUUGCAUACGUAUGUCGUGUACACUUGUAUACACGUUUUUGUGACUGGUAGCAUAAUAAAAAACAAAGAAGUUUGAGCUAAGGAUAAUAUAAUAGGAAUAAGAAUCAGAUAUAUGGAACGAACGAUUCUGCUAAAAUAUUUAAAAAUUUAGGUGCUGAUCUGAAAAUAAUUUUUUAUUAGAGUAUAAAUUAAUUGCGUAGGACGCUCAAGCUGAUUGUCAGAAAAAUGUCAAAACUGUUUGUAACAUUACUAAUAAUUCUUGAACAUCUUUUAUAAUCAUAUUGAUGAUCCAAAAAGUUACUUUUAGAUUUAUAAUUUAAAUUUUUAGAUACUUUAUCAAAAUUGUUCUUGCCGUGUAUUCGAUACAUAAUAAUACAAUAUAAUAUUCGAUACAUAAUAACUGUCUUGUUUUAGUCUAUUUUUAAGUUUUUGCUUGUUUAGUUAAACGUUUAGCAAAUAGAAUAGAUUAGAAUAGAUUAAGACAAAAUAGUUUAUUGCACGCAUGUGAAUCUGAAGCAGGAAUAAUUAGUGGAGUAGUUAGAUUAUUUUUUAUUUUUCUUUUAAUUGAAAAAAAUCUGUUUGGAUCGAGCGUGGAAUUACGGGGUAUAAGCGGACGCGUUUCGACUUUGCGAGAAUUGGAAGCGUGACAACGGACGACUCGAUACCCAACGGGAACGUGGGUCACACAGCUCCCCGUGACUGACGUGCAUCGAUGAUCAUGACGAUCUCUUGCUGCAGCGGAUCCCACCGUUGUUGUCCACCGCGUGCGAUUAAUGAGAUUUUCCGAAGCAGUCCCUUUGGCACCGACACACCCGAUAUAAUCGGGACGACCGAGGUGGACCGUUCGUGGCGCGCUUUUUACGGACCAUCAGUUUCUUCUCGGUUUCAAACGAGACCCGCCGACGGGUUGGCUGCUCAAUUUUAUCGGGAAACGCACCGAAAGUAAAACAAUACUUUAUAGAACGUUUCUCCCGUUCCAACUUUUACGGUUCUAUCCUCUUCGCUCCAGCAACGUAUCUACGUCGCACCGGUCUAUCUUACUGGUGUCUUAGGUAAGAGCAGCCGCUCCUUUGCUUCUACGUUAGAACGAUCGGAAUUUAAUAAUGUUUAUGAAAGAUUAGUGGCAUUGUCUCUUUGCAAGUUUUGUCUCUUUAAAAUAUCGCCGAAACACUCGAAUUUUUAAUAUAAACGUGAAUAACAUCAGCUUAUAACGCGGGCGAUGCACGAUUUUGUAAUAUAUAAAAUCUUGAAUAAGGAAAAAAAUCGUCAAGAAUUUGUUACACGAUCAUCCGGGAAGUCUUCUCUAAAAAAAAAAA